GGUCGGUUAGCUCAGUUGGUUUAGAGCGUGGUGCUAAUAAGCUUGCUCUGACUUGUGAGAGUCUUUCCUGCUUUGUAUACGCCAAGGUCGCGAGUUCGACCCUCGUACUGACCA